AUUGAACGCUGGCGGCAUGCCUUACACAUGUAAGUCGAACGGCAGCACGGGGCAACCUGGUGGCGAGUGGCGAACGGGUGAGUAAUGCAUCGGAACGUACCUUUCAGUGGGGGAUAACGUAGCGAAAGUUACGCUAAUACCGCAUAUUCUGUGAGCAGGAAAGCAGGGGAUCGCAAGACCUUGCGCUGAUUGAGCGGCCGAUGUCAGAUUAGCUAGUUGGUGAGGUAAAGGCUCACCAAGGCGACGAUCUGUAGCGGGUCUGGGAGGAUGAUCCGCCACACUGGAACUGAGACACGGUCCAUACUCCUACGGGAGGCAGCAGUGGGGAAUUUUGGACAAUGGGGGCAACCCUGAUCCAGCAAUGCCGCGUGAGUGAAGAAGGCCUUCGGGUUGUAAAGCUCUGUCGGCCGGGAAGAAAUCGCACGGGCUAAUACCCUGUGUGGAUGACGGUACCGGAAUAAGAAGCACCGGCUAACUACGUGCCAGCAGCCGCCGUAA
rnacentral:rRNA from 1 species